CUUAUGUUAAACUUAUGUGCAGUAGUUUUCAAUCAAGUGCAAUUCUUUUCGUAUAAAAACUAGUUACCUUAUUCUAUUGAUGAUAAAAAUUUAAAACUAUAAAGAAUAAAAAGAGCGUUUAAAAUUAAAAGUAUAUACCCACAGAUUACAACAGAUAAUUAUUGAUCUGUACCUACCCAAAAUCCAGUGCAAAUACAGCUCUACGAUUUCCUUUUCUAUUUUUGCCUUAAAAAAACGAGUAGUAACAAUCACCACGUCAGCAACGCGAAUAUGAUCCUCUAUAAAAUGGAGGCUGGGUUUUCACAAAUUCCUCACUUCCUUUAUUCUUAUCUUCAUCGAUAUCACGUUGUAGCUUUCAACACACUUUUCGCAUGGAUCGGCUUCCGAUCUACACACCGAUGGCUAAAUUUCCACGGUUUUCCAUGGAUCUGAAAUCAGGCUCUUCUGAUCUUUUAUUCCGUGGCUAGAUCUACAUAUUCGUAUUACUUUUGGAGUCACUUCAUGUUCGAAUCUUCCUCUUCGCAGAGAUUAUUGAGAUGAUUGUAUCUCGUCGCUGCUAAUUUCAGCUUCAUGUGUUGAAGAGAAUAUUAUUGUAACGGAAGUUGCUGGCUUGUUGCGUUCUAUAAACGUCAAAUCUCGAUUCAUGUUGUGAAUUUAGAUUAUGUGAUUGUUGUUUGGGGAUGAAGUGGUCCUGAAUAAUAUCUUUGUGAACCGACCUUUGCCAUGACAGGUGCGCUUGCAUGGCAGGUCAAAGAAAAUAUGAAUAAAAGCAUAUUUUAUUGUUUUUGAGGGAGAUCGCACGGGAAUUGCCCGGGAUCUUUCUCUCUGGUGUGGUGUGUGUGAUUUUCUUCUUCUUCUUCUCCUUCUCUCGUAAUGCUUUUGUUUUUUCUUUACUUCUCUACCAUGCAUCACAACAUUGAUUGUCAAAGAUUUAUCAUUGCACUGGAUUUUCUCCGUCACUGACCAAAUAAGGUAUUAUAUAUCAUUUUACAUUUGACUUUUAUAAUUGGUUAGCAGGUUUAAUUAAAAACAAGUGAAGCAUAAAUUGGGAAGUGUAUUUGGAUUAAUUAAUUUUGUGCUUAUGGCGAACUUGAUAGUGGAUGGUUUUCAAUUGCAUUAGAUUUAUUCAAUUAAUUUAAGUUUUGAUUCCAAUUUUGAUGAUGUUCUUUGUCGGCACAGAUUGCUCAAUGGAGUUCUUCAAUAAUUAUGGUAAUUGGUGUAUUGGUAUUUACGCUAGAAUUUAAUUUGCUUGUAUAAGAUUAGGAGGGAAAUUGGAUUCUGUCGUGAGCCAAUACAGCAACUUAACACUUAGUCUGCAGUUAUAUAUUCUUUUAUUAAUGUCUCAGACACAUGACUGUUUAUGAAUAAUCAUCUAUAUGGCUAUUGAAGCUAGUUUGAUAUUAAUGAAAACAUUCAAAGUUCAA